CGCCGCCGCCGCCGCUGCUCCUCCAGAUGGGCUGAAGAAGGGGAGCCAGCGAACUGUGCUGAGUCGCCAGCGGGGGGUUUGAACAAAAAUCUGAAAAUCGAGAAAAAGGAGCGAGGAGUGAAAACCAUUGUUGGAUACACUUGGUUUUAACCUCGACAGCGCCACCUUUCGGCAAAGGUGGGGACUGGCCGAAGGACCCCUUCUGAUUCCUACGAGUGAUCCUUGGGCUGCGAUGUAUUUGGGACCCAAACCUUUAAAACUGCCAACCCUGAUUUCCAGCGGAC
rnacentral:lncRNA from 1 species